rnacentral:rRNA from 1 species
UCUACGGGUGGCAGCAGUGAGGAAUAUUGGUCAAUGGACGCGAGCCUGAACCAGCCAAGUAGCGUGAAGGAUGACAGCCCUAUGGGUUGUAAACUUCUUUUGUAAGGGAAUAAAGUGAGACACGUGUGUCUGUCUGUAAGUAUCUUAUGAAUAAGGAUCGGCUAACUCCGUGCCAGCAGCCGCGGUAAUACGGAGGAUUCAAGCGUUAUCCGGAUUUAUUGGGUUUAAAGGGUGCGUAGGCGGUCGGUUAAGUUAGUGGUGAAAUUUUGCGGCUCAACCUUGAAAUUGCCGUUGAUACUGGGCGUCUAGAGUGUAGUUGCGGUAGGCGGAAUUGGUGGUGUAGCGGUGAAAUGCUUAGAGAUCACAAAGAACUCCGAUUGCGAAGGCAGCUUACCAAGCUACCUCUGACGUUGAGGCUCGAAAGUGUGGGGAGCAAACAGGAUUAGAUACCCGGGUAGUC